rnacentral:tRNA from 1 species
GCAUUGGUGGUUCAAUAGUAGAAUUCUCGCCUUCCAUGAGGGAGACCCAGGUUCGAGUCCCAGCCAGUGCA